ACUAGGAUGGCUGAAGUAAAAGCAGUAAAUUGUAAAUUUACUUAUGAACAUAAUAUUAUUCUCCUAGUA
rnacentral:tRNA from 1 species